UACAGAGGGUGCGAGCGUUGUUCGGAAUUAUUGGGCGUAAAGCGCGUGUAGGCGGUCUGUUAUGUCGGGUGUGAAAGCCCUCAGCUUAACUGAGGAAGUGCGUCCGAAACUGGCAGACUUGAGUGCCGGAGAGGAUAGCGGAACACCCGGUGUAGAGGUGAAAUUCGUAGAUAUCGGGUAGAACGACCAGUGGCAGAAGGCGGACUAUC
rnacentral:rRNA from 1 species